rnacentral:lncRNA from 1 species
CAAGAAAAGGAAAGUAGCAACGAACUCAGCGAUUCCAGCUCGGUAAAAAGACCAUGAGGUCAACUCACUAGGCUCAAACAAGGGUGCUGGUGGUGGCUCAGUGUAAUCCUUAUCAUCUUGGGACUGAGCUGCUGUCCCAAUAGGCUGCCUUUCUGAGAACUUGUUAGCUCCCAAUCUAACAUCUUCUUCUUUCCCUUCCAUUGAUUUCCCUUCUGUUUUUUGCUCUUUACUACUGAAAAACAAUGGAACCUGUGAGCUAAAAGAAACUAAAUUCUCCGUGGUUUUUAUGAGUUAAUGGGGUGCGUAUUUUAUAUACUAUGUUUAGAUGAGUAAAAUGAAUAAAUUAUUUGUUAGAAUUCAAUAUUUGAAUAUUUAAAUAUAAUGAAUUAUGACCGACCAAUCGUUUUUGGGAAAAUGACAUGAAAUAAACACAAUUGGAAUAAUUAUGAUUAGUGAACGACAAUGGUGGGGUGGCUGCUGGGAGACCUUAGUUGGCUUAAUUUUGGCCACAAAUUUGUGAGCUGAUGAUGAUCACAGCCACCGCCCCAUUGCCAGAACGAAGGGAGUGUAUGAUAAUACUCUAAAAUGACGUGUUUUUAUAUAUUAAUCAUGUGUUUAUUUUGAGCUUGAGCCUACUAAUUUGAGCUAUUUAUGUCUUUUUAUCUUUUAUGGACUAAAUUGGAGGUGAAAAGUAAAUUCAAGGGAAAAAGCGUCAAUUUGAAAAUUAAAUGGGCCAAUAUGCAACGUGGGACAAAUAUGGUGCCAAAAGUGCGAACAUGGAAGGCACAAGGACUUAAAAGCAAAUACAAGAGAUUUUAUUUUGGAAGACUCUAUUUUCUUUUAUUCUAUUAGGAUAAUUAAUAUUAAGAUAAUUAUUAGAAUUAUUCAAAUUUAGGAUUUUAUUUUAAUUAUCUUUGUUUAUCUUUAAUUAAAUUGUAUUUAUCUUUUUAGAAUUUAAGUUCAAUUAGAUUAUCUCCCUAGCACUAUAAAUAGGAGGUGAAGUGACUCUAUUGAGAGCAUCUUUUUAUGUAAACACUCUCUCCCAAAAGUCUUUUGUUCUUUCAUAUUUCUUUUCAAUAAAAUUUCUUUUUCCAUAUUUUUAUUUAUUUUCUUUCCCAUAAUUAUCAUGAGCCACUAAAACCCUUCUAGCCAAAAGUUGUCAAUAUUUCCCCAAAAAAGGUUCUUGAGGCCUAGAAUCCGUUCUUAGCCUUCUCGCCAAGUAUUCAUCGUUUCUCCGCACUAUGGGCUGACGCUUCCGUCCAUGGCCCUUAAGAAGUAAGCUUUUCAGCAUAUGCAAAGGCGGCCGCUUUGUAUGUUUUGGAAGGAUUGCAUAGUCGGUUCGUUAACUUACUGCGUCAGAGGUUGGCGAGCCAAAGAGACAAAAUGGCGUGGGAUUCGCCAUAGAGAAGCGUUGAUCUAGCAUAGAUUACUGGCUAGAGUCAGGUUCCCUAAAAAUCGUAAGUCUAAUCUUUGGAGCUGGUGGUCGUAGGCGUCCUCUUCCACUAUAACUGGCUUACUCGAGUCGAGAAGAAUCAUCCAAAAGCCAAGGAUUGAGCCCAAGGCGGAAUGAGACAACCGGAGGCUGGAACUUUCCCAUAAGAAUUUCUUUUCACUUAAAACUCUCUUUAUUAUUUUUAUUAUUUUCGUAAUCAUAAUUUUAGUAAACUUUAAAAUUUGUUUUUAUUUUAUUUUCGCUUCCAAAAUCAAUUCUUAAAAUCUAUUUUUUUUCCAAGAACACAGGUUUUCUUGGGCACAAUUCUGCCCAGAAUUUCGAGAAACAAGCAUUCGUAUAAUCCGGUCCCUAAGGAUUCGACCCUACUUCCCCUUUACUGUUCUUUUUCUAUUUUUAUUAUUUUACAGGGAAUAGGUUAUUUUUUGUGCUCUCAACGACCGCAUCAAAUUUUGGCGCCGUUGCCGGGGAUCGGCAACAUACUAAUCUUGUUUUUCUUUGUUUUUUAUGACCAGAUCUGCUCCAGGUACUCUUGCGUUCGACUCAAAAAUCGAAAAAACUGCGAAAGAUAAUCGAAAGGAAACAAAAUUAAGGAAAAAGCAGUCAGUGGUGGUUGGAACUAAAAGCAAUCCACCGCCAGAAAUUAGAAUCGACAACGAAGUAGAGUCUAGGGUUAACGAAAACCCUACUCAAACGUUAGAAAGUAAAGAAGAAGAAGUCGAUUCCCCUGAAGAAGUGCUGAACACUAGGGUUGACGAAAACCCUAAUUUAACACCUCAACUUAUGGCUCAGACAAUUCGGCAACUGGCCGAAGCGCCGACAGAACAACCGCCACUAUGCAUCGCGUAUCCUACUAUGGAUACUGAUUUUGAAUUAAAGUCAGGCUUGAUUCAGCUACUGCCAACUUUCCGUGGGUUACAAAAUGAAAACCCCCACAAGCAUUUAAAAGAAUUUCAUAUGGUUUGUUUGAGUAUGAAACCUCAGGGGGUAACUGAGGAUCAAAUUAAAUUGCGCGCUUUCCCCUUUUCCCUAGCAGAUUCAGCCAGGGAAUGGUUAUUUUAUUUACCUCCUGGAUCCAUUACAACUUGGGCUGAUCUAUCUCGUUUAUUCCUUAACAGGUUUUUCCCUGCAUCACGAGCGGCUGAGUUAAGAAGAGAAAUCGUGGGCAUAAGGCAAAAAACGCAGAGACUCUAUACGACUAUUGGGAGCGAUUUAAGAAGUUGUGUGCAAGUUACCCACAACACAGUAUAACGGAACAGUCUUUGCUCCAGUACUUUUAUGAAGGCUUGAAACCCAUAGAGAUGAAUAUGGUAGAUGCCGCGAGUGGAGGAGCGUUAGUCAACAUGACUCCACAACAAGCAAGGGACUUAAUCUCCACAAUGGCUGCAAAUUCCAAGCAAUUUCGAGCCAAUCCUGAACCCCCUAGAAGGGUUCACCAGCUAAGUAAUUCUACCAUUGAAGAUAGACUUGAUAGACUUACUAAUAUUGUGAAUUCCCUUGUUACAGAAAAAUCAAAACCAGCCCGAGUAUGUAGAAUAUGUGCUACACCUGAACAUACGACUGAUGCGUGCCCUAGUCUGUAUGACGAUUCUAUGGCCCAUUUAGAUGCUGUGGGAAAUUUUCCUAGGCCACCACAAAGACGAUACGACCCUUACGCCAAUACCUACAACCUAGGAUGGAGGGACCACCCUAAUUUUAGUUAUGGGGCUAAUCCACGAUAUAACCAGCCAUACCAAAAUUGGGCCCCACAACAGGUGCAAGAUUCAGGUAAUUCUCUGGAAACUUUGGUCAAUAAAUUAGCAACUAAUGUCCUUGAUUUUCAACAGCAAACUCUCAAUUUCCAAACAGAAAUGAAGGGUUUUCAGCAGAAAACUGAAGCAUCCAUAAGGGAGUUGACCACAUCAAUUGAGAAAUUAAACUCUCAAGGGAAACUGCCAUCACAAACAGAACCAAACCCGAGGUAGAAUGCGAAUGCAGUAACGUUACAAAGCGGAAAGAUCCUGGAACCAGUUCCUGGCAAGAAUCUUGGUCAAGAAAUCGCCCAGGAAACUCCAGGAAACGACGAACAGAUCCGAACGAAACCCCCAUGCCGAAAAUCCAACCUCCAUUCCCAGGACGAUUAAAUCAGUGUCGAAAAAGUAAGGAAGACAAGGAGAUCCUCGAAACAUUCAGGAAUGUUGAGAUAAACUUACCACUGUUAGAUGCCAUUAGACAGAUUCUACGGUAUGCCAAGUUCCUCAAAGAACUUUGCACCAACAAACGAAAACUAACAGGUAAUGAAAAGGUAAGUGUUGGUGAGAAUGAUUCCGCAGUUCUACAGCGAAAAAUGCCGGUUAAAUUCAAAGAUAGGGGCAUGUUCGCUAUUCCAUGCAAAAUUGGCCAUUUGGGAAUUAAGAAGGCUAUGUGUGAUCUAGGGGCCUCCAUAAAUGUAAUGCCUUAUUCUAUUUAUGAAUCACUUAAUGCGGGUUUUUUGACAAAGACAGGUGUUACCAUUCAGUUGGCAGACAGGUCUAUUGUGCAUCCCGAAGGUAUCCUCGAGGACGUAUUAGUCAAAGUCAAUGGGCUUAUCUUCCCUGCAGAUUUUUAUGUGAUAAAAAUAGAGGAGGAUAACACUCCUGGGUCUUCAGACAUCUUGUUGGGGCGACCUUUCCUUAGUACUGCGAAUACUAAGAUUGAUGCACCAUAUCCGAAAUUAAAACCACUUCUCGAGCGUUUCAAAUUCACAUUUUUGGAGAAUGAUGAGACCAUUGCUUACUUAAAAGGGAUCAACCCCUUGGAGGAAAAUACGGAACCAAAGAAAGAGGCGCAAGGACGAUUAAACCCAAAUAUGGUGGACGUGUUAAAAAAUGAGAAUUUCCAAGCACAUAAGAACAAAAGAAUUUAGCUGGAACAGCCCCAAUACUAGUUGAGGCGUCAAGCUAGCGACGUUAAACAAGCGCUUGUUGGGAGGCAACCCAACAUUUCUUUUUCUUUUUAUUUAUUUUUUCUUUUAUUAUUUAUUAUUUUAUUUUUAAUUUAUUUUAUUUUAUUUAAAUAUUAAUAAAUUUCUCUUCUUCCAUCUAGGUGAAAUGGAGCGAAAAUACGCACCAAAACAACCCUAUCCAUGGUACCAAACAGUUCUAUUCCAGCCCAAAAUGCCAUAUCCCUGCUGCUAAAUAGUUUUAUUCCAGCCCAGAAUGCCAUAUCUCUGCAGCCAAACAGUCCUAUUUCAGCCUUAGAAUCCCCAAAACCUGCAGCCAAACACCCCUUUUCAGCAAAUAAAACCCCCAAACCUUACAUUUUUUCCCCAAAUUUCUCCAUAACCGCCGACUCCUUUCUCCUCCAUCACCCACCCCGUCUCCACCUCUUGCCGCUUCGCCAUCUUCUUCUCCACCGUGUGCGCCAACCGACAGUAACUACAUGGGGAGUUUUUCUAAACUUUUUUUUUCUCUUCACCUAUUUGUUUUCCUUUUACUUUCACAUCGAGGACUAUGUGUUUUAAAUGGGGGGAGGCAUUCUUCGUUGUUACUGUUAUUAUCUGCUAUUUUUGCUGUCAUAUUGUUGUUGCUGUUGUUUUGUGCUCGUUUCUGCCUAUUUAUUUUAAGAAUAUCCUGCUGCUUUUCAUGCCAAAGAUUUUACCAGGAAUUGCCUACUGUUUGACUUUCAUGCAUGAUUCUUACCUUCUAAGGAAGUUCUGAUUUUUCCCAUAAUUGAUUCCAUCUCCACUGUUUUAUUUUUAUUAGGCUAAAAAUAAUUGUGAUUAAUAGGGUUAAUUCUAUCUUGCUUUUCGUAAAAUUGAUCAAGUUUACACUUAAAAUGAUUGCAUGCUUAAUUAAUGUUCAUGGCUAUUAGGUGAUUAUUGAAACUUAUUUUUGACACUUAAAUUUUUUUCUUUCCUGAGUUCUCAAGAAUUUUAAAUAUCGUUUAAUUUUUAAUAAAUGUUUUCCAUGGUUAUGAGUACAGCUCAAAUCGUGACUGACUGAGUAACCGGGGUAGGGUGCUUGGGUUUUCAUUCUACUUCGUGUCAAAAGGUUGUGUGACGUGUUGGGUAAAACUCCGCUAACCGGAAAUAAAUAAUUUUAGGAGUAUGUUGGGCUGAGUAACCGGGGUGGGGUGCUUGGGUUGUCAUCUCUCUUCGCGUCAAAAGGUUUAAUAUAUUCCUAAGUAAAUAAAUAAUAAUAAAAUUUAAAAAAAAUAAAAAAAGAAAAAAAGAAAAAAAAAAGAAAAAAAUAAGUACUAAUAAAGUUGCACUUCGGGGACUAAAGGAGGAAAUAAUUAAGGUGUCUUAGUAGGUUUGGUAAUUUACCUAAAUGGCAUAACUCAAGUCGAUCUUAAUUUUUGUGUGAAAUAAUUGGAAUACUUUUUCUGUUUUACUUAAAGCAAGCUUAGAGGUCUCUUUAUUUUUCAUAUGCAUUUUUAACUAAUUUUUAUGAAACUUUGGAGUGGUAUUUCUUUUAUGGCAGAAUCUAGCUUUCACAGUCGAUAGGAACCAUACUUGAGGGCAAGCAUGGGCUAAGUAGGGGGAAUUUGAUAAUACUCUAAAAUGACAUGUUUUUAUAUAUUAAUCAUGUGUUUAUUUUGAGCUUGAGCCUACUAAUUUGAGCUAUUUACGUCUUUUUAUCUUUUAGGGACUAAAUUGGAGGUGAAAAGUAAAUUCAAGAGAAAAAGCGUCAAUUUGGAGAUUAAAUGGGCCAAUAUGCAACGUGGGACAAAUAUGGUGCCAAAAGUGCGAACAUGGAAGGCACAAGGACUUAAAAGCAAAUAGAAGAGAUUUUAUUUUGGAAGACUCUAUUUCUUUUAUUCUAUUAGGAUAAUUAAUAUUAAGAUAAUUAUUAGGAUUAUUCAAAUUUAGGAUUUUAUUUUAAUUAUCUUUGUUUAUCUUUAAUUAAAUGUAUUUAUCUUUUUAGAAUUUAAGUUCAAUUAGACUAUCUCCAUAGCACUAUAAAUAGGAGGUGAAGUGACUCUAUUGAGAGCAUCUUUUUCUGUAAACACUCUCUCCCAAAAGUCUUUUGUUCUUUCAUAUUUCUUUUUAAUAAAAUUUCUUUUUCCAUAUUUUUAUUUAUUUUCUUUCCCACAAUUAUCAUGAGCCACUAAAACCCUUCUAGCCAAAAGUUGUCAAUAUUUCCCCAAAAAAGGUUCUUGAGGCCUAGAAUCCGUACUUAGCCUUCUCGCCAAGUAUUCAUCGUUUCUCCGCACUAUGGGCUGACGCUUCCGUCCAUGGCCCUUAAGAAGUAAGCUUUUCAGCAUAUGCAAAGGCGGCCGCUUUGUAUGUUUUGGAAGGAUUGCAUAGUCGGUUCGUUAACUUACUGCGUCAGAGGUUGGCGAGCCAAAGAGACAAAAUGGCGUGGGAUUCGCCAUUGAGAAACGUUGAUCUAGCAUAGAUUACUGGCUAGAGUCAGGUUCCCUAAAAAUCGUAAGUCUAAUCUUUGGAGCUGGUGGUCGUAGGCGUCCUCUUCCACUAUAACUGGCUUACUCGAGUCGAGAAGGAUCAUCCAAAAGCCAAGGAUUGAGCCCAAGGCGGAAUGAGACAACCGGAGGCUGGAACUUUCCCAUAAGAAUUCCUUUUCACUUAAAACUCUCUUUAUUAUUUUUAUUAUUUUCGUAAUCAUAAUUUUAGUAAACUUUAAAAUCUGUUUUUAUUUUAUUUUCGCUUCCAAAAUCAAUUCUUAAAAUCUAUUUUUUUAUUUUUUCCAAGAACGCAGGUUUUCUUGGGCAUAAUUCUGCCCAGGAUUUCGAGAAACAAGCAUUCGUAUAAUCCGGUCCCUGAGGAUUCGACCCUACUUCCCCUUUACUGUUCUUUUUCUAUUUUUAUUAUUUUACAGGGAAUAGGUUAUUUUUGGUUCUCUCAACGACCGCAUCAGUGUAAAUGAUUGGAUUGGUGUUUCUGUGUUUCAAAAAUGGCGAAAGCUUAGUCAAAAAUUGAAUAACAGAAUUCCAAGGUUUAGUUCGAUAUAAUUUUUUUGGAAGAAAAUUUUUUUAAGUAAAAAUAUAAUAUAAGUGUAAGUAUAAUAUAAUAAUUACAAGUACUGAGUAAGUAAAUGUUGGAGUAACUUUAAAAUAGUAAUGUUUUUUAAAUGGAUUGAUGGUUGAAUUGGUUAGGUUAUUGGUUUAUCGAUUUAAUCGGUUUGAUUGGUUUAAUUAAAAAAUUUUAAAAAAAUUUUAAAAAAUCUUAUUAAGCCGAUUCAACUAUCGGUUCAAUCGAUUUAUACUAAUUUUCAAUCUAAGCAAUUCAAAACCACUUUUUAAACCGAUCCGAUUCAAACAAAACUGAAAAAUAGAAUCAAAUCAUUAUUAGUUUACUACACACAGACAGACGAAGAACAUCUAGGCUAAAACUCACUGAUGGGAUUGGAGACUUAUACAUGCAUAGUUAUAGGUGAUAGGACUUAAAUAUUUAGGAUUCAGGGCCUCGGCCUUUUCCAACAAUGAGAAGACUUCAUUGACUUAAUUUAAUAUAAAUUGGCUUUAUUUUAUUGAGAAAAUAUUUGACACACUAUGAGUAGAGUUUUUAGACUCCAAAUGAAAAGUCAAGAUGAUAAUAAGUGUACUACAAAUUAUAGUAAAAUAUUAAAAAUACAUAUAAAAUAAAUAAGAUACAUAACAAUUUUUUAAAUCUAUUUGUGAACUGAGUGAAUCAAAUAUUAAUCUUUAUUUUAUUACUAAUAUAUUUUUAAAAGAUUUAUUAUUAAUAUUAUACCUUACCAUAACUAACACUUUUUAAAAAAAAAUCCAAAUAUUGAGAUUAUAGGGAAAAUCUUGGCUUUAUAUGAGCCAAUGAUUUUCACCUAAAAUUGGAAAAGGAAAAAUGCAGAAAAGUGAGAAUCUGUAAUCCAGGCUAUACUGUUUCUGGAAGAUAAUGAUGGAGUAAUUGGGAAUUUAUUUAUAAUUAAUUUCCUUAACCUAAUCUUGUUUGUUUAAUUUUUGUCAUUCUAAAAAGAAUGGCUUCUAAUGACUAAUGUAACAUAUUAAUCAUAUUCAGAAUCUUUCUGCUUUCAUCAUUACAUAUAUAUAUAUAAAAAAGCUGGCAAAACCUUUAGGUUAGAGGCAUCAUUAUUAUUAUAGUUUAUAUUCAAGGUUUAUAAUCAAGAAUGAAAAGAGAAAAGUUAUCUUCAUUUUAGAGUUUAUAUUUAAGGUUUAUAAUCAGAGGUGGAGGAAGGGGCUAGAAGGGCCUUGACCCUCUUAAAAUAUAAAUUUAUUUUUUAGUUUUUUUAAUUUUAUAUAAUUUUAAAUUGAUAAAUAGUUAAAUUACACUUUGCCCUAAAAAAGAUAAAAGAUAGAUUUUAAUUUAGUCCUUUAAAAAUUAAAAAGGUAUGAGCUAUUAAAAUAGUGAAAUUACAUUUUAGUAUUUAUUCGUAAUUGUCUUUUUCAACAAUAUUAUUUUCAAAGUUUAUACCUGUAUUUCUCUCCUUCAAAGAGCAAUAUCCCUUACCAUUACAACCAACACUUGUUAGUUGAACACUUUAGUUUUGAAAAUGCCUAAGAAAAUUAAUAUCAUAAAUCAUAGUUUGAAAAUCAAUUCAUAUGUUUGAAUAUAUUUAUAUAUAUUAUAUUUGAAAUUUGAAAAUAUGUAAGAAAAUUAAUAUCAUAACUUUCAAAUUCAAUCCAUAUGUUUGAAUACAUGUGUUUGAAUUAAUCAAAUUCUAAUAUAUGAAACUUUUUUAAUAAAAAGAAAUGUUAUAUUAAAAAAUUUUAAAAACUAUAAAACAUAAAAAAAAUUCAAAAUUUCUUAAAAUUAUAGAAAAUAAAAAUCAUAAAUUAAAAAAUCAUAAAAAAAUUUUAAAAUAAACAAAAUUUUCCUAGAUUUGAAAUUUAGUCUCUCUACUUUUAUUUCGAGGAAUUCAAUCACUAUUUAAGUCUAUUUUUUAGCACCAUUAAAAAUUUUAAGUUAAAUUCACUAGUUUGACAUUUUAGGAUAAACAAAAUAUUCAUUUGGUAAUUAUGUAACAAAAAAAUGAUGUUGUAAUGAAUCUAAAUUUAACAAAAGAAUUUUUAACGAUGUUAACAAUUAGAGUUGUAUUUUAUAAUUUGAAAAGUGAAGGGACUAAAUUUCAAAUGUAUAACUAUAUUGUCUUAAAAGAAAAUAUGAUUUUCAAAAAAAAAAAAAGAAUCAUGUUCACAUUAAUUAUUACGUGUUAAUGUAAUGUCUACAAUUGUGACAUCAUAAUUGCAAUUGGAUACUAUGGUUCCAACACAAUAAAAGGGGGAGCCAUAUUGCAUGGUUCUUCGACAUGAGUUUUGUGGAAAGAGAAAAUAUGAUUCACCCUAUAGGUGGAGAGUUGCAAAGUAAAGAUGUUGAAGCUGGUUAUAGAGGAAUGAAGAACCGAUGAAAGGAAGGCUUGGAGAAGAAGAGGAGAGAGAAGUUGAGAACUUGAACCAAAAAUGAGAGAGAGGUUCCCCAUCAUCGAGGAGUAAGAGGAGUAUAUGAAUAGGUUGGCCCCCUUACCAUGUGGCGUGUUUUGAUUGGUCGACUUGUCAUUCAAUGGUUAAUUGUUAGGUCAACAAGAUGAUCUGAUGUUUUUAAAUUGCAAGGUGUAUGGAUGAUAAGUGAUAGGUGGGUUGUUAGAGUGGUUAGGAUAUCAGGGGUAGCUAACUUAUCUACUCCUAAUAACCUUGUGGAAUAGUUCUAUUGGUGAAGGAUGAGGACAUGGCGAACUAGGUCAGGCGACGAAGGUGGUGGUCUAAUGGAGUUCAGUGUCAUUCACCUUUUUGGCGAAAGAGUCAGUCAUGGAGAAUGAGGCCCUAACAAGGUAUAUAUAACAAUUUUCCCUAGUCGAAAAAAAGGUUGCAAUAUGGCCUUCCUUGAUACAUGAAUGCAUGUAAGGCAAAUAUUACUUACCCAUUUUUGUGGGACAUUUUCAUCAAUGCAGAGUACAAAUAUUCGUAAUUUUCAAAUUUUUAAAUUUCAAACUUUGUAACAGAUGACUUAAGUGUUAACUUGAUGAUUAAGAGUGAUCUAAGGAAGCACUAUUUAAGACAUUGCUUGAGUCGUGUGCAUUUUUAGGAUGAUGAUGAAAUGUAGGAGACAAGGCAAUUCUUGUAUUGGUAUUGCAAUGGUUUCUUGAGAAAUAUGUACACAAGUGAUGUGUUUAGCAAUAGUAUUUUGAGAAACAUGCAUGUAAUUUAUGUAUUUGACAAAUGGAGGUUAGCUAGGUUCUUUUGGAAAUAAGGUAACAAUUUUACCUUUUGGUUCUUCGAUGUGAGUUUCUUUUUCACUUUCCUUUUUUGAUUCUUUAGUUUCUUUAUUUGUUCUAAUGUUGGGAGUUUUUGAGAUUCUUUACUUUGUAGAAUGGUCAACGAUAAUAGGUAUAAGCAUAUUGUUAAGAAGAAAGGUAGUAGGAAAAAGAAGUCAAUUGACAUAUUUGUCAGUACUGACAAUUUUGAGUGCGCGCAAUGGAGGAGAUGAGGGUGUUAUUAAAAUGUUAUGGUUUGCAAUUGGACAACUACCAAUAUGAAUUUUUGAUUCCAACCAAGGAGAAAACUUUGAGUAUGAUGUUCAUAAAGGGUAAACGUAAGCUAGCCUUUUUAUACCAUUAUACAUGUUUGAGGUUGGAUUCCAUCUUCCUUGCAUCCAUUUUUUUGUGAAGCUUUUAAGCUCUUAUGGAAUUGCAUGGGGUAGUUAGUGGGGACCUUGUGGUAGGAUCUUAUAACAUAUUUCCUUUAUUGUUAAUGGUGAGGUGAAUAACUUUUGGUGGGAGUGUUCUGGAAGAUUUAUAUUAUGUCUCCCAUUAGUGGAAGGUAUUAGAUAGGGUUUGUAUUCUUCAUGGCACAUAAAGGUUGUCAGGUCAUGUUGGAUAACACUAAGAGUAACAUGCAUCUAAUGAAGGAAAAGAAUAUUCUGAGAAAGGAUUGUAUGAAACUGUAAUUCCACAUCAUCCUUAUCCUUUUCCAAUAGGAGAAUGAAAAAUUAGAUUUUUCCUCCUAAUUUUUAACAUUUUUAGUUGAAUUUGAAAUUUUUCAAGAGGAAAAAUCUGAUUUUUCAUUCUCUUAUUAGAAAGGGAUAGGGAUGACAUGAAAUCACAGUUUUAUACAAUCCCUUGUCGUAUAUUCUAGUAUACCACUACUUUGUUAGGAACUUUCAUUUCCUCAAAAGGUAGGUGUUACCAUCGAGUGAUAUGUAUACGACUAACCCUAAUCCACUCUCGAAAAAUGCUCGUUAACGAUACCUACACCUUAAAAAAGUCUUUUAUUAAAGGUUAAAGGGACAAUUGCCCUUCAUAAAUUAAUGCUAUUAUUUGGAAGAGAAGAGUUCUAACAAGUUUUGAAGAGUUAAUUUAUGUUUGGACCUUUAAACAAGCGAAGGUUUAAAAUCAUGUGGAGAAAGUUGGACGCAUAGGGGCAUUGAUGUUGUUGGAAAGAUUUUCCCGGGGUAGAAAAAUAACUUGAAGAUAUUGUAACGCUCUAAAAAUCUAAGCAACAAUUUUUGUAUGUUUUGUUGCAUAAAUACAUGUCUGCUUCAGUGGUUGAGUGUCUUGAGGAGUGUUGGAGAAGUCCUGAGUUCAAGCCUUAGCUUGUACAAAAUUUUGUUUUUGCCCCAUUAUGCUAAUUCGGUCAUAGGCUUGUGGGUGCCGAAAUUGUGUGGUUUUUGAUUCCCACUUUUGUUAGCUAUUAUUUCUUUUGUUACUUUCCUCUCUAUUUUCCUUUCUUUCGGGUUUUUGCAAUCGAGGUUCUUUUCUUUUGUUUCUGAAGCUGAGUUGUGUUUUUGAAAGUACCUUUCAGUCCUAGUUGCUUGCGAUUUUUCUUCUCCCUCACAUCUUUUCUCAAAUGGCUUCUCUUUUGGCCGAACACCUAUUGCUUUCCUAUCUCUCAAAUCAUUUCAAUUUAGCCUGGGGUGAUCAAGUCUUUCCUUUUCUUCUUCCUUCUUCUUUCAAGUGCAAUUUACUCUUUGUUGGCUGAAUAUUGCUCUUACAUUUAUCCUUUGUGUGCCGACUCUUUCUUGUGCUUAUUCUUUGUUGAUCUUGGUGGUAAGUGCUGCUAUUUUGAUUUUGUUUUUGUUCACCCUUUUUUUCCCUUUCUGCCGAAUCUGUAGUUCUCUUUUAACACCUUCUUCUCUGGCUGGAGAUUGUUAGUAGAGUGAUUGCGCUAGUUCUGCCUUGUUGUAGUGGCAUUUUUGGGGAAUUGUGAACUGAUUACUUCCUUUCCCUAGUUUCGGUUCUACAAUUUCGAUAAGUGGUUGUGCGAUUGGUUAAAUUUAUGUGCGUGUAUUAUGUUAGUUAUGUGUUCGUUUGAAACGCAGGUAUCUCUAAAGGAGUUUGUAAUCGGGUUCGUGUAUCGGUUUAAGGGUGGAAUCUUUAUUAGUUCAGUAAAGGCAAGUAUUAGUGAGUUGGUUGUGAUAAAGUAUAAGAAUGGAUGUUAAUCCUAUUGUUAUUGAUUAAAUGGAGUAUUUUGGUUGAAUGUAGGCUUUGGGCUCGUGGGCUACUUGCGCAUCUUCGUUUAAGGUGUGUAAUCACACUGCUAUUAGUGUAGAUCAGCAAAAGCUGGAAACGUAUGACUAUUAACUCUACACGAGCUUACGCUCACUCGUGUGGUGAUCCAAACGCAUAAAACGUGGGCGUUUGACAGUAAAGGCCACCAUGAACGAUUUCAUGGGCUUAGGCCGGUUUGGGCCACGUUGGGCAAAAAUGGCCAUGUGGCCCCAACGGGCAUGUGGAGAUUAUUGGGCUAGGCUGUGUAGUUUGCACGGUCAAUGCCAUGUUGGGCUUAUUGGGCCACAUGGGUGUAUGGGCCCACAUGGGCCGUGUUAUAGGUUUUGAGCCUAUUUUUACUAUUUGACCAUUAUGGUUGCACGGGUCGCCCGAGACGAUUAUGGACCUACUGUUGGGUCGAUAAGUAUACUUGGACCUCAUACUAAUGAAAUGACUGUUAUACCCCUAAGAGGUAAAAUGACUGAUAUACCCCUAUGAUAUGUUUUAUUGUAUUUGAGCAUGACAUGUUGCAUACACGUAUGAUAAUAUGACAUGACACAUUGCAUGGGGGAUGGGUUUGAUAUAUUUGGAGGAAGUGUACUGUACUGGCAGCUCUGUUGCAAAUACUGUUUAGUGUCGCAACCGGUACUAUAUUUUGGAGUGUAAGGAUGGGUGGGUCGAUUUUAUCCCCACAUGGAGUGUAUGGCUAGACGGAGUGGAGUGUAGAGGAUGGAUGGGUAGGACUUUUGAUUGCAUUUCUGUUACUGUUACUGUAAUGGGUUAAGGCCCACACUACUACUGAUACUGUAUUGGGCUAAGGCCAUAACUGUUAUUGGACUGUUACUAAAAUGGGCUUCGGCCCAAACUGUAUUUGUCUAUGGUGUGACUGAUUGUUUGCUUAAUAAGGGAUUACACACUAAGUUUUCAUAAACUCACCAUUCUGUUCCCUGUGCAGGUAAUCCUUAGGUGGGUCGGUGCUGCAAGGGACUCGAUGGAGGCCACGCAACAGCUAUUGCUAUUGUUUAAAAACUUUUAAUCUUUAAGCUAUUUAAUUUUGGUUUUGUUAUGUAAUAAGGCCUCUUUAAAAUUUUACUUUGGUGUGGGGUUUUACUAUUUCGAUUUAUAUCUGCUAGUAAUAAGUCGCAGAUUUUCAAAAAGAUAAAUGUUUUCAAAACACCACGCUAUUACAACAUAUCUUUCCGCAACAAACUUUAAUUUUAAAAUGUAAUAACAAUCUUAAACAAUUAAACUCUUGCUAAACCUACUUGAAUUCUUAACAACAAUCAAGAUACUUAAAAGUUUUGCAAAAAGAUCUCUACGAGGGAUUUAGUAAAGUAUGAACUUUUCAAACAGAACGAUGAAUUUCAAAAUACACUUUAAUGUGACAUCGUAGAUUCGGCCAUAACGUCUAGGCUGGGUUUGGGGUGUUAUAGAUAUGUUGGUGAAAUAUGACCAUUGCCUCUACCGAAAAUGGGAGUGUAGGAGGAAGAAGGUGCCAAUCUAGAAAAGGAAAAAAGAAAGUUGGAACCUCUAGUUUGUAGAAAGAAAACAGAGAGGUAUGUGAAAGCUUGAACCAAAAUACAAGAGGUCCCUCUUGUUGAGGAGUAAAAUGAGUACAUGAAGAGGUUAGCCCCUUACACGUGGUGCAUUCUGAUUGGCCAACUUGAUAUUCAAUUAUUCCUAGCUAUGUCAACAACAUGAUGUGUUAUUACUAAGAUAUAAGGUAUGUGGGUGACCAAUGAUAAGUGUCUUGUCAGAGUGGUUAGGUUGUCAUCGUAGGAGUACAUAAAUAGGUUAGCCCCUUACACGUGGUGCAUUCUGAUUAGCCAACUCGAUAUUUAAUUAUUCCUAGCUAUGUUAACACAAUGAUGUGCUAUUAUUAAGAUACAAGGUAUGUGGGUGACCAAUGAUAAGUGUCUUGUCAGAGUGGUUAGGUUGUCAUGGUAGCUAACUUGCGUACUCUUGGAGGAAUAGUUCUCCUAGCAAAGGAUGGAUUCCUUGGUGAAUUAGGUUAUGUAGUGAAGAUGGUGGUCUAUCAAAGUUCAAUGUCGUGCAUCCUUUUGGUGAGGGUGUUAGCCAUGGUGAAGGAAGUCCUUGCAUGGGAUUUGUAACAAGUUUAAACUUCAAAAAAGAAAAUUGUGAGUCAACCAUUGAAGUUCAACCUCAAAGUUGUUCCAUUUGUUGUUUAACUUCUCAAGGCUGCCUUAAACUAUGCUUCAAAUUUUUUGAAAGAGAGCACAUUUAUAUUGGACUUUACUUAAAUUUGGAGCAAUAUAUUACAGAUUCUUACAUCCAAAUACAAAAGGCAUGCAAACAAAAAAAAAUGGAAAAACAAACUGAAAGGGUGCAUGAGUGGAACUUUCACUUUCUUGAAAUCAUAUGAUCAUGACCAUUGAUGUAGAUCAUUUUGAUUUGAAAGGAAUGGCUCUGAUCACAACAACGUGGUAAAGUGCUGCUAGUGCUGCACCAAUGAAUGGACCCACCCAGAAAAUCCACUGCAAUCAAACCAGACCCAAAGUAGAUAAGUAUAUUAUUCAUGAUUAAAAAUAAUAAUAGUGAAAAAUGGUGAAACAAUUGACUUACAUGGUCAUCCCAGCCCUUGUCCUUGUUGAAAAUGAUGGCCGCACCAAGGCUACGAGCUGGGUUAAUACCAGUUCCUGUGAUUGGGAUGGUGGCUAAGUGUACCAAGAACACUGCGAACCCAAUUGGCAAUGGUGCCAAAAUCUACCAAACACAUGGUCAUGGUUAAAAAUCUGGGUUUUUAAUGGUUUAAACAAUUCAAUCAUUCAUUUGAUGAAACUUACAGGGACGUGAGAGUCUCUGGCACUGCGCUUGGCGUCAGUGGCUGAGAACACAGUGUAAACAAGAACAAAGGUACCAACAAUUUCAGCACCAAGCCCAUCUCCCUUGGUGUAGCCAUGAUUCACAGAGUUAGCUCCACCACCCAAAGCACCAUACCUUGUCUUCCCCAUGAACCCUUUAACCACACCAGCCCCACAUAUAGCUCCCAAGCACUGCAUCACCAUGUAGAAUAUUGCCCUUGUCAAAGACAAUUUCCUUCCCAAGAACAGCCCAAAUGUCACCGCCGGAUUUAUAUGACCACCUAUAACAUCACCAUAACUCAUCAAUACUAUACUUUUCUAUCAUUUUCCUGAGAAACAAACAAGGAAUAAAGCUGAUCAUAUAGUUUACCUGAGAUACCAGCAGUGCAGUAAACAAGAGCAAAGAUCAUACCACCAAAAGCCCAAGCAAUCCCUUGAAUCCCAACAGUUGUACACUUGGUUUUGUCCUUAAGGACUCCCAUCACAGUCAACACCGAGAUGUACAAGAAUAGGAAAGUAGCAACGAACUCAGCGAUUCCAGCUCGGUAAAACGACCAUGAAGUCAACUCACUAGGCUCAAACAAGGGUGCUGGGGGUGGCUCAGUGUAAUCCUUAUCAUCUUGGGACUGAGCUGCUGUCCCAAUAGGUUGCCUUUCUGAGAACUUGUUAGCU